rnacentral:rRNA from 1 species
UGGGGCGGUCGCCUCCUAAAAGGUAACGGAGGCGCUCAAAGGUUCCCUCAGAAUGGUUGGAAAUCAUUCAUAGAGUGUAAAGGCAUAAGGGAGCUUGACUGCGAGACCUACAAGUCGAGCAGGGUCGAAAGACGGACUUAGUGAUCCGGUGGUUCCGCAUGGAAGGGCCAUCGCUCAACGGAUAAAAGCUACCCCGGGGAUAACAGGCUUAUCUCCCCCAAGAGUUCACAUCGACGGGGAGGUUUGGCACCUCGAUGUCGGCUCAUCGCAUCCUGGGGCUGUAGUCGGUCCCAAGGGUUGGGCUGUUCGCCCAUUAAAGCGGUACGCGAGCUGGGUUCAGAACGUCGUGAGACAGUUCGGUCCCUAUCCGUCGUGGGCGUAGGAAAUUUGAGAGGAGCUGUCCUUAGUACGAGAGGACCGGGAUGGACAUACCUCUGGUGUACCAGUUGUCGUGCCAACGGCAUAGCUGGGUAGCUAUGUGUGGACGGGAUAAGUGCUGAAAGCAUCUAAGCAUGAAGCCCCCCUCAAGAUGAGAUUUCCCAACUUCGGUUAUAAGAUCCCUCAAAGAUGAUGAGGUUAAUAGGUUCGAGGUGGAAGCAUGGUGACAUGUGGAGCUGACGAAUACUAAUCGAUCGAAGAC